rnacentral:rRNA from 1 species
UACGGAGGGUGCAAGCGUUAUCCAGAUUCACUGGGCUUAAAGGGUGCGUAGGUGGGCAAGUAAGUCAGUGGUGAAAUCUCCGGGCUUAACCCGGAAACUGCCAUUGAUACUAUUUGUCUUGAAUACUGUGGAGGUCAGCGGAAUAUGUCAUGUAGCGGUGAAAUGCUUAGAUAUGACAUAGAACACCAAUUGCGAAGGCAGCUGGCUACACAAAUAUUGACACUGAGGCACGAAAGCGUGGGGAUCAAACAGG